rnacentral:rRNA from 1 species
AACGAACGCUGGCGGCAUGCCUAACACAUGCAAGUCGAACGAGACCUUCGGGUCUAGUGGCGCACGGGUUCGUAACGCGUGGGAACCUGCCCUUAGGUUCGGAAUAACUCCCCGAAAGGGGUGCUAAUACCGGAUAAUGUCUUCGGACCAAAGAUUUAUCGCCUUUGGAUGGGCCCGCGUUGGAUUAGCUAGUUGUUAGGGUAAAAGCCUACCAAGGCGACGAUCCAUAGCUGGUCUGAGAGGAUGAUCAGCCACACUGGGACUGAGACACGGCCCAGACUCCUACGGGAGGCAGCAGUGGGGAAUAUUGGACAAUGGGGGAAAGCCUGAUGCAGCAAUGACGCGUGAGUGAUGAAGGCCUUAGGGUUGUAAAGCUCUUUUACCCGGGAUGAUAAUGACAGUACCGGGAGAAUAAGCUCCGGCUAACUCCGUG